AGCAAUUUUUAUUCGAUUUAUUGAUUUAUAUAUAAGCCUUUUCACACUUUAAACAUCAAUCAUUUCACGAUGAAGUUCUUUGGAAUUGCAUUGUUUUUCUUCUUACUUGUGGCAAGUUUUGCAAAUGCAUUUAAUGGACGUGAUGAUGAUGAAGAUCCGUGGAGGACAUACGAGGUAAAACGAGAGCCAGAUGGUUUUCCAAGCCAACGACGUAUACCACCCUACUGCGGCUGGGGUAGUGAAAGUUGUAAUUAAAAAUGUCACAAAUGAAAACAUGACAUUAAAAAAAUAAAACAAUUAUUAAAUG